UACGAAGGGGGCUAGCGUUGUUCGGAAUCACUGGGCGUAAAGGGCGCGUAGGCGGCUUUGUAAGUCGGGGGUGAAAGCCUGUGGCUCAACCACAGAAUUGCCUUCGAUACUGCAUGGCUUGAGACCGGAAGAGGUUAGUGGAACUGCGAGUGUAGAGGUGAAAUUCGUAGAUAUUCGCAAGAACACCAGUGGCGAAGGCGGCUCACUGGCCCGGUACUGACGCUGAGGUGCGAAAGCGUGGG
rnacentral:rRNA from 1 species